rnacentral:rRNA from 1 species
AUUGAACGCUGGCGGCAGGCCUAACACAUGCAAGUCGAACGAGUGGCGGACGGGUGAGUAAUGUCUGGGACCCUGCCUGAUGGAGGGGGAUAACUACUGGAAACGGUAGCUAAUACCGCAUACCAUCAGAUGUGCCCAGAUGGGAUUAGCUAGUUGGUGGGGUAACGGCUCACCAAGGCGACGAUCCCUAGCUGGUAUGAGAGGAUGACAAGCAACACUGGAAUUGAGAUACGGUCCAGACUCCUACGGGAGGCAGCAGUGGGGAAUAUUGUACAAGGGGCGCAAGCCUGAUGUAGCCAUGCCGCGUGUAUGAAGAAGGCAUUCGGGUUGUAAAGGACUUUCAGCGGGGAGGCGUUACCAGCAGAAGAAGCACCGGCUAACUCCGUGCCAGCAGCCGCGGUAAUAC